AUGCAGUCAAUAAGAAGAUCAAUAACUUUUAAACUCAAUAACUUCAUUAAUUCAAUAAUUUUAUUAAUACUUUAUUACUCAGAAGAUAUGAUCUUUUCUCCUCAUAGAAUUCAGAUUCCCUACUUUGGUGACUGGAAAAGGUCAGUUUUCAUUCCAAUACCAAAGAAAGGCAAUGCCAAAGAAUGCUCAAACUACCACACAAUUGCACUCAUCUCACAUGCUAGUAAAGUAAUGCUCAAAAUUCUCCAAGCCAGGCUUCAGCAAUACGUGGACCAUGAACUUCCAGAUGUUCAAGCUGAUUUUAGAAAAGGCAGAAUAUCCAGAGAUCAAAUUGCCAACAUCCGUUGGAUCAUCAAAAAAGCAAGACAGUUCCAGAAAAACAUCUAUUUCUGCUUUAUUGACUAUGCCAAAACCUUUGACUGUGUGGAUCACAAUAAACUGCGGAAAAUUCUGAAAGAGAUGGGAAUACCAGACCACCUGACCUGCCUCUUGAGAAAUCUGUAUGCAAGUCAGGAAGUAACAGUUAAAACUGGACAUGGAACAACAGACUGGUUCCAAAUAGGAAAAGGAGUAUGUCAAGGCUGUAUAUUGUCACCCUGCUUAUUUAACUUCUAUGCAGAGUACAUUAUGAGAAACACUGGGCUGGAUGAAGCACAAACUGGAAUCAAGAUUGCUGGGAGAAAUAUCAAUAACCUCAGAUAUGCAGAUGACACCACCCUUAUGGCAAAAUGUGAAGAGGAACUAAAAAGCCUCUUGAUGAAAGUGGAAGAGAAGAGUGAAAAAGUUGACUUAAAGCUCAACAUUCAGAAAACGAAGAUCAUGGCAUCCAGUCCCAUCACUUCAUGGGAAAUAGAUGGGGAAACAGAGGAAACAGUGUCAGACUUUAUUUUUUGGGGCUCCAAAAUCACUGCAGAUGGUGAUUGCAGCCAUGAAAUUAAAAGAUGCUUACUUCAUGGAAGAAAAGUUAUGACCAACCUAGACAGCAUAUUCAAAAGCAGAGAUAUUACUUUGCCCACAAAGGUCUGUCUAGUCAAGGCUAUGGUUUUUCCCAUGUAUGGAUGUGAGAGUUGGACUGUGAAGAAAGCUGAGCACCAAAGAAUUGAUGCUUUUGAACUGUGGUGUUGGAGAAGACUCUUGAGAGUUCCUUGGACUGCAAGGAGAUCCAAUCAGUCCAUUCUGAAGGAGAUCAGCCCUGGGAUUUCUUUGGAAGGAAUGAUGCUCAAGCUGAAACUCCAGUACUUUGGCCACCUCUUGCGAAGAGUUGACUCAUUGGAAAAGACUCUGAUGCUGGGAGGGAUUGGGGGCAGGAGGAGAAGGGGACGACCGAGGAUGAGAUGA
rnacentral:lncRNA from 1 species